GCCGUCGGACAUGGGAAUGCAGCCUAAAAUUGGAAUGAUACCGAGAUUAGCAUGGCUCCUGUAAAAGGAUGACACGCACAUUCGUGAAGCCCUCCAUAAUAAG
rnacentral:snRNA from 1 species